rnacentral:rRNA from 1 species
AGUGAACGCUGGCGGUAGGCCUAACACAUGCAAGUCGAACGGCAGCACAGUAAGAGCUUGCUCUUACGGGUGGCGAGUGGCGGACGGGUGAGGAAUACAUCGGAAUCUACUUUUUCGUGGGGGAUAACGUAGGGAAACUUACGCUAAUACCGCAUACGACCUACGGGUGAAAGCAGGGGAUCUUCGGACCUUGCGCGAUUGAAUGAGCCGAUGUCGGAUUAGCUAGUUGGCGGGGUAAAGGCCCACCAAGGCGACGAUCCGUAGCUGGCCUGAGAGGAUGAUCAGCCCCCCUGGAGCUGAGAAACGGUCCCGGCUCCUACGGGAGGCAGCAGUGGGGAAUAUUGGACAAUGGGCGCAAGCCUGAUCCAGCCAUCCCGCGUGGGUGAAGAAGGCCUUCGGGUUGUAAAGCCCUUUUGUUGGGAAAGAAAAGCAGCAGGUUAAUACCCCGCUGUUCUGACGGUACCCAAAGAAUAAGCACCGGCUAACUUCGU